UACGUAGGGGGCUAGCGUUGUCCGGAUUUAUUGGGCGUAAAGAGCGUGUAGGCGGCCAGGUAGGUCUGCUGUGAAAACUCGAGGCUCAACCUCGAGACGUCGGCGGAAACCAUCUGGCUAGAGUCCGGAAGAGGAGAGUGGAAUUCCUGGUGUAGCGGUGAAAUGCGUAGAGAUCGGCAGGAACACCCAGGGGGAAACCAGCCGACUGGGCAAGUGCUGACGCUGAGGUGCGAGAGCGUGGGGAGCGAACCGG
rnacentral:rRNA from 1 species